GACGUAGGGCGCAAGCGUUGUCCGGAAUUAUUGGGCGUAAAGAGCUCGUAGGCGGUUUGUUGCGUCCGCUGUGAAAACUCGGGGCUUAACCCCGAGCCUGCAGUGGAUACGGGCGGACUAGAGGUAGGUAGGGGAGAAUGGAGUUCCCGGUGUAGCGGUGAAAUGCGCAGAUAUCGGGAGGAACACCGGUGGCGAAGGCGGUUCUCUGGGACGGUACUGACGCUGAGACGCGAAAGCGUGGGGAGCGAACAGG
rnacentral:rRNA from 1 species